UUUAGAUUAUAAUAGCUUUGAAACAAUGAUAAUAAAAGUUUUUUCAUCGUUCUAAAUUUAUGCUACAGUUAUGGUCGUAAAAGAUUAAGAAAAAUCUUAUGGGUGCAAUUAUUCCACUGACACCUGCGAAAUUACCAAAAGAACUGACCAUCGCUGUUUAUUGUAUUUUUUUAAAUGUUCUAGUUAAACAAUCUAACACUUAA